rnacentral:sRNA from 1 species
AAAAAACAAUAAUUAAAAGUCAGUGACAGCCAUUGUAAAUAAAUCUUAACUCCAGGAUUUAUUUCACAAAAUAGCUGCAAAAAUGUAUAUGUAGAUACCACUGCUUUUCUGUGAUAUUUUGACAUUUUAAAAAUAUGGUUCCAAUCAUUUU